GUGACACUGAAAAUUUAUUUUGAUAAAAUCUAAUUUAUUUGUUCAUUUAUUCCUUUAAGAAUUUGUCUACACAGUUUUGUGAAUGAAAAUGUUUGAAGAAAUGCUAUACUGUAGAAAGACCUCCAUAACAAAUGUUAAAUACAUAACCCAUACUGCAUACAAAUCUCCCCAACCUCAGACAGAUAUAAAUAUACUGCAAGUACACAGCAGUCUCUGUGUUUGGUCGAGUACAGCAGAGGAAUCAUGAGCUGGCCUCUUCUUCUUCUGAUAUCCUCUGUGCCCUUCUGACCUCGUCUCCUACUGAGGUUAAACCUCCCGGAGCCUCAGUGAAGUUGUCCUGUCAGAUUUAUGGCUAUGCCCUCACUAGCUACGGCACAGGCUGGAUCAGACAGCCUACAGGAAAACGCUCGGAGUGGAUCGGGAUCAUAUGGGGUGGUGGAAGCACAGCACCUCUGGAGCUUCCUUUAAAACUUGCUUCAGCAUCUCCAGAAACACGAGCAACAAUAUGCUUUACUUCGAUAUCAGCAGUCUGGUGCCAGAAGACACUGCUGAUUAUUAUUGUGCAAAGACACACAGCUGUACAUCUCAGCAUUCCUCACCCUUGGCCUUAUCCCACUCAUCUCCCUUGUCCUGGUACUCAUCUUCCUCUCCCUCGUGUAGGCAUUUUUCUUACUUUCUUUUUGUUGCACCAUAUUGUUCCUUUUCCACACAAGAUCAGCCCAAAGAGGUCCCUUUUUUACCAUACACCAUAUGGUAAUGCUAUUGAAAUAACCUCAACACCAGAGUGUGCUUCCUAGAUGGGAAUCAGCU
ensembl:lncRNA